AACGUAGGAGGCGAGCGUUAUCCGGAGUUACUGGGCGUAAAGCGCGUGUAGGUGGUUGGAUACGUCUGCUGUGAAAUGUCCCGGCUUAACCGGGAGGGUGCGGCAGAUACGGUCUGACUUGAGGGUGACAGAGGAGCGUAGAAUUCCGGGUGUAGUGGUGAAAUGCGUAGAGAUCCGGAGGAACACCAGAGGCGAAGGCGGCACCCUGGCCUAAUACUGACACUGAGACGCGAAAGCAUGGGGAGCAACAGGG
rnacentral:rRNA from 1 species